rnacentral:rRNA from 1 species
UGCUAUACAUGCAAGUCGAGCGAAUGGAUUAAGAGCUUGCUCUUAUGAAGUUAGCGGCGGACGGGUGAGUAACACGUGGGUAACCUGCCCAUAAGACUGGGAUAACUCCGGGAAACCGGGGCUAAUACCGGAUAACAUUUUGAACCGCAUGGUUCGAAAUUGAAAGGCGGCUUCGGCUGUCACUUAUGGAUGGACCCGCGUCGCAUUAGCUAGUUGGUGAGGUAACGGCUCACCAAGGCAACGAUGCGUAGCCGACCUGAGAGGGUGAUCGGCCACACUGGGACUGAGACACGGCCCAGACUCCUACGGGAGGCAGCAGUAGGGAAUCUUCCGCAAUGGACGAAAGUCUGACGGAGCAACGCCGCGUGAGUGAUGAAGGCUUUCGGGUCGUAAAACUCUGUUGUUAGGGAAGAACAAGUGCUAGUUGAAUAAGCUGGCACCUUGACGGUACCUAACCAGAAAGCCACGGCUAACUACGUGCCAGCAGCCGCGGUAAUACGUAGGUGGCAAGCGUUAUCCGGAAUUAUUGGGCGUAAAGCGCGCGCAGGUGGUUUCUUAAGUCUGAUGUGAAAGCCCACGGCUCAACCGUGGAGGGUCAUUGGAAACUGGGAGACUUGAGUGCAGAAGAGGAAAGUGGAAUUCCAUGUGUAGCGGUGAAAUGCGUAGAGAUAUGGAGGAACACCAGUGGCGAAGGCGACUUUCUGGUCUGUAACUGACACUGAGGCGCG